rnacentral:lncRNA from 10 species
AUCCACCCAAGACCCGGUUCCUCGAUUCCCAUCCUUACGACCGAGGAAAAAAGAGUAAAUUUUCCUAUUAUAGCCUUCUCUCGCACCUUCCCCGCUUCCCACCAGCCGUCUCCACUGUCCUCACCGUCCCCAUCCUCAUCCAUGGCGAAAUCUUCGCCCCCAGCCUCGUGAAGAUCUAGCACGUCCGCCAUCUCGCCUUCGAUCGAGAUCUCGUCUGUGCCGCUCAGACACUAGAGUCUCACCCUGAUGUCCAGGCUGGAGUGCAAUCACUCAGUCUCGGCUCACUGCAACCUCCACCUCCUGGGUUCAGGAGAGAAGUGGGGGAGAAUGGUGUUAAAAACACAAAUAGUGCCGGGCGCGGUGGCUCACGCCUGUAAUCCCAGCACUUUGGGAGGCCGAGGCGGGCGGAUCACGAAGUCAGGAAAUCGAGACCAUCCUGUCAAACACGAUGCUGUUGACUGGGGCAAAGAAUAAUGGGAGAAAAACAGCUGGGUCCUAAAUAACAGAGGGAAACCAACUUUCAAUAAAGUAUUCAACAACUAA